CGCCAUUUUCUUACUCGCGAAACCAGGAGGAGAGAGAGAGCGGAGAGCGACGACAUCGCCGCCAGGGGGAGGUGAGAGAGAUCCCCCAGCGAGCAGAGAGCCAGAGACUGCUACUACAAAGUCUCCUCCGGCUUUGACUCCCCCGACUCCAUUUGAUGGUCGCGGGGGGACCGGGAGCGGGAGCGGGGAGCCGGCGGCGACGACGACGAUGGGCCUCUGCAGCUCCUCCACCGCGGCGGCCGCGGACGCGCCCCGGCGGCCCGGCGGCGCGGCGGCGGGGAGGAGGGAGAGGGAGAAGGGGCGCGGGAUCGUGGCGUGCGGCAAGCGGACCGACUUCGGGUACGACAAGGACUUCGAGGCGCGGUUCUCGCUCGGCAGGCUGCUGGGCCACGGCCAGUUUGGGUACACCUUCGCCGCCGUCGACCGCGCGUCCGGCGACCGCGUCGCCGUCAAGCGCAUCGACAAGAACAAGAUGGUCCUUCCUGUUGCUGUUGAAGACGUAAAGCGAGAAGUUAAAAUAUUGAAGGCCUUACAAGGGCACGAAAAUGUUGUACAUUUUUACAAUGCAUUUGAAGAUGACAACUUUGUGUAUAUAGUCAUGGAAUUAUGUGAGGGUGGUGAAUUACUUGAUCGUAUAUUAGCCAAGAAAGAUAGCCGUUAUAGCGAGAAAGAUGCUGCAGUAAUUGUCCGACAGAUGCUCAAGGUUGCAGCUGAGUGCCACCUGCACGGUUUGGUUCAUCGGGACAUGAAACCUGAGAACUUCCUAUUCAAAUCAACAAAGGAGGACUCACCCCUCAAGGCUACAGAUUUUGGCCUUUCAGAUUUCAUAAGACCAGGAAAGCAAUUCCGUGACAUUGUCGGAAGUGCCUACUAUGUGGCACCAGAAGUACUCAAGCGAAAGUCAGGGCCGGAAUCUGACGUUUGGAGUAUAGGCGUUAUUACCUAUAUUUUGCUGUGUGGAAGACGGCCUUUCUGGGACAAAACUGAAGAUGGAAUAUUUAAAGAGGUAUUAAAAAACAAGCCAGAUUUUCGCCGCAAGCCUUGGCCAAAUAUUACUCCAGCUGCAAAGGAUUUUGUACAAAAGUUACUAGUUAAGGAUCCCCGUGCAAGACUAACUGCUGCACAGGCAUUAUCACAUGAUUGGGUAAGAGAAGGAGGAAAAGCAUCUGAAAUACCCUUGGAUAUAUCAGUAUUACAUAAUAUGCGACAGUUUGUGAAAUAUAGCCGUUUCAAGCAAUUUGCUUUAAGGGCAUUAGCAUCUACACUAAACUCAGAAGAGUUGUCUGAUCUUCGUGAUCAGUUCAAUGCCAUUGACGUUGACAAAAAUGGAACAAUUAGCCUGGAGGAAUUGAAGCAGGCUCUUGCAAAGGAUGUUCCGUGGAGAUUAAAGGGUCCUCGUGUUUUAGAGAUUAUUGAGGCGGAAUUGACAGCCAAUAUUGCAUUCUUGGGCAGAUUGAUAGUAAUACAGAUGGGCUAGUUGAUUUUGAAGAGUUCGUGGCGGCAACACUACACGUGCAUCAGCUGGUGGAACAUGAUACUGAAAAGUGGAAAUCAUUGUCUCAAGCUGCAUUUGAUAAAUUUGACGUCGAUGGCGAUGGCUAUAUCACAUCUGAUGAACUUAGAAUGCAUACAGGAAUGAAGGGUUCUAUUGACCCCCUCCUAGAGGAGGCUGACAUUGACAAAGAUGGCAAAAUAAGCCUAGACGAAUUCCGCAGGCUCUUGAAAACUGCAAGCAUGAGCGCGCGCACUGUACAAACUCCGAGGGGCGUUUGCGUGUCAUAGUUUCUCAAUUUUCAUAGUUCACUUCACUGAACAAGGGAGCAGGAAAUGGUGAGAUGUUUUUGGGCGACACAUGUAAUUGAGAAUUGUUGCCGGAAAGGCUUCUUGAUGUAUGUAAGGUAUACAAUCAAUGCACAUGAAAUAGGGUUGACCUGUAGUUGUUCCUUGAUGUAUUACUCCUAUGCAGGAGUGCACUUCACAUAUGGUUCGUGGUGUUUGUUUUCGGUUUCGUU